UUAAGUUAUUAAGGGCGCACGGUGGAUGCCUUGGCACUAGAAGCCGAUGAAGGACGUUACUAACGACGAUAUGCUUUGGGGAGCUGUAAGUAAGCUUUGAUCCAGAGAUUUCCGAAUGGGGAAACCCAGCAUGAGUUAUGUCAUGUUAUCGAUAUGUGAAUACAUAGCAUAUCAGAAGGCACACCCGGAGAACUGAAACAUCUUAGUACCCGGAGGAAGAGAAAGAAAAUUCGAUUCCCUUAGUAGCGGCGAGCGAAACGGGAAGAGCCCAAACCAACAAGCUUGCUUGUUGGGGUUGUAGGACACUCUAUACGGAGUUACAAAGGACGACAUUAGACGAAUCAUCUGGAAAGAUGAAUCAAAGAAGGUAAUAAUCCUGUAGUCGAAAAUGUUGUCUCUCUUGAGUGGAUCCUGAGUACGACGGAGCACGUGAAAUUCCGUCGGAAUCUGGGAGGACCAUCUCCUAAGGCUAAAUACUCUCUAGUGACCGAUAGUGAACCAGUACCGUGAGGGAAAGGUGAAAAGCACCCCGGAAGGGGAGUGAAAUAGAACCUGAAACCGUGUGCUUACAAGUAGUCAGAGCCCGUUAAUGGGUGAUGGCGUGCCUUUUGUAGAAUGAACCGGCGAGUUACGAUUUGAUGCAAGGUUAAGCAGUAAAUGUGGAGCCGUAGCGAAAGCGAGUCUGAAUAGGGCGUUUAGUAUUUGGUCGUAGACCCGAAACCAGGUGAUCUACCCUUGGUCAGGUUGAAGUUCAGGUAACACUGAAUGGAGGACCGAACCGACUUACGUUGAAAAGUGAGCGGAUGAACUGAGGGUAGCGGAGAAAUUCCAAUCGAACCUGGAGAUAGCUGGUUCUCUCCGAAAUAGCUUUAGGGCUAGCCUCAAGUGAUGAUUAUUGGAGGUAGAGCACUGUUUGGACGAGGGGCCCCUCUCGGGUUACCGAAUUCAGACAAACUCCGAAUGCCAAUUAAUUUAACUUGGGAGUCAGAACAUGGGUGAUAAGGUCCGUGUUCGAAAGGGAAACAGCCCAGACCACCAGCUAAGGUCCCAAAAUAUAUGUUAAGUGGAAAAGGAUGUGGCGUUGCCCAGACAACUAGGAUGUUGGCUUAGAAGCAGCCAUCAUUUAAAGAGUGCGUAAUAGCUCACUAGUCGAGUGCCCCUGCGCCGAAAAUGUACCGGGGCUAAACAUAUUACCGAAGCUGUGGAUUGUCCUUUGGACAAUGGUAGGAGAGCGUUCUAAGGGCGUUGAAGCAUGAUCGUAAGGACAUGUGGAGCGCUUAGAAGUGAGAAUGCCGGUGUGAGUAGCGAAAGACGGGUGAGAAUCCCGUCCACCGAUUGACUAAGGUUUCCAGAGGAAGGCUCGUCCGCUCUGGGUUAGUCGGGUCCUAAGCUGAGGCCGACAGGCGUAGGCGAUGGAUAACAGGUUGAUAUUCCUGUACCACCUAUAAUCGUUUUAAUCGAUGGGGGGACGCAGUAGGAUAGGCGAAGCGUGCGAUUGGAUUGCACGUCUAAGCAGUAAGGCUGAGUAUUAGGCAAAUCCGGUACUCGUUAAGGCUGAGCUGUGAUGGGGAGAAGACAUUGUGUCUUCGAGUCGUUGAUUUCACACUGCCGAGAAAAGCCUCUAGAUAGAAAAUAGGUGCCCGUACCGCAAACCGACACAGGUAGUCAAGAUGAGAAUUCUAAGGUGAGCGAGCGAACUCUCGUUAAGGAACUCGGCAAAAUGACCCCGUAACUUCGGGAGAAGGGGUGCUCUUUAGGGUUAACGCCCAGAAGAGCCGCAGUGAAUAGGCCCAAGCGACUGUUUAUCAAAAACACAGGUCUCUGCUAAACCGUAAGGUGAUGUAUAGGGGCUGACGCCUGCCCGGUGCUGGAAGGUUAAGAGGAGUGGUUAGCUUCUGCGAAGCUACGAAUCGAAGCCCCAGUAAACGGCGGCCGUAACUAUAACGGUCCUAAGGUAGCGAAAUUCCUUGUCGGGUAAGUUCCGACCCGCACGAAAGGCGUAACGAUUUGGGCACUGUCUCAACGAGAGACUCGGUGAAAUCAUAGUACCUGUGAAGAUGCAGGUUACCCGCGACAGGACGGAAAGACCCCGUGGAGCUUUACUGUAGCCUGAUAUUGAAAUUCGGCACAGCUUGUACAGGAUAGGUAGGAGCCUUUGAAACGUGAGCGCUAGCUUACGUGGAGGCGCUGGUGGGAUACUACCCUAGCUGUGUUGGCUUUCUAACCCGCACCACUUAUCGUGGUGGGAGACAGUGUCAGGCGGGCAGUUUGACUGGGGCGGUCGCCUCCUAAAAGGUAACGGAGGCGCUCAAAGGUUCCCUCAGAAUGGUUGGAAAUCAUUCAUAGAGUGUAAAGGCAUAAGGGAGCUUGACUGCGAGACCUACAAGUCGAGCAGGGUCGAAAGACGGACUUAGUGAUCCGGUGGUUCCGCAUGGAAGGGCCAUCGCUCAACGGAUAAAAGCUACCCCGGGGAUAACAGGCUUAUCUCCCCCAAGAGUUCACAUCGACGGGGAGGUUUGGCACCUCGAUGUCGGCUCAUCGCAUCCUGGGGCUGUAGUCGGUCCCAAGGGUUGGGCUGUUCGCCCAUUAAAGCGGUACGCGAGCUGGGUUCAGAACGUCGUGAGACAGUUCGGUCCCUAUCCGUCGUGGGCGUAGGAAAUUUGAGAGGAGCUGUCCUUAGUACGAGAGGACCGGGAUGGACAUACCUCUGGUGUACCAGUUGUCGUGCCAACGGCAUAGCUGGGUAGCUAUGUGUGGACGGGAUAAGUGCUGAAAGCAUCUAAGCAUGAAGCCCCCCUCAAGAUGAGAUUUCCCAACUUCGGUUAUAAGAUCCCUCAAAGAUGAUGAGGUUAAUAGGUUCGAGGUGGAAGCAUGGUGACAUGUGGAGCUGACGAAUACUAAUCGAUCGAAGACUUAAUCAA
rnacentral:rRNA from 1 species